GGGUCCAAUCGGAGCUGUAGCUGCCGGCCUACACCAGAGCCACAGCAACACAGGAUCCAAGCUGCAUUUGUGACCGACCUACACCACAGCUCAGGGCAACGCCGGAUCCAUAACCCACCGAGCAAGGCCAGGGAUCAAACCCGAAACCUCAUGGUUCCUACUCGGAUUCGUUAACCACUGAGCCAUGACGGGAACUCCUCAAAGCAAUUUUCUUUGUGAACUUUGACAUGCCUAGGUUGUGUAUUUUAUCCGUGUUGUUUGACUUUGAGGGAGACUAUACCCAUUUUUGAGGAUUUGUUGAUUUGUAUCAUAAUUUUAUUUCCUAUAUUGUUAUACUUAACAGAAAUGAUUUUCAUUUUGUAAGUGCCCUAAUGAGAAUAUUAUCUGGUCCUGACAAAGAGAUGAAUAAUACUUACGCAGUGUAUUUCUGUUUGUUUGACUAAUUUGAUUUCCUCAGCUGUUAAACACUUUUAUUUGCUUGUUUGAAAUUUAUUCAAAAUUCCACGGUGGUCCAUCUAUGAAUGUGAUUUCUAUCUGGAGCAAUUUACUGCAUAUUGUUUUGAAUGGGGACGGAGGAGAGAAAAGGGAGACACUGUGUGACAGUAGCGGACUUUCUUUUUUGUUUGUUUGUUUCUUCAUGUGCUUUUUUUUAAUUGAAGUAUAGUUGAUUUACAAUGUUGUGUUAGUUUCAGGUAUACAGCAAAGUGAUUCAGUUUUACAUGUGUGUAUAUAUAUAUACUAUAUAUAAUAUGUGCAUAUAUAUAAUAUAUACAUCCAUCCACGUUACUGCAAAAGGCAUUAUUUCAUUUUCUUAUGGCUGAGUAAUAUUCCAUUGCAUAUAUGUACCACAUCUUCUUUAUCCAUUCAUCUGUCAAUGGAUAUCUAGGUUGCUUCCUUAUUUGGCUAUUGUAAAUAGUGCUGCUAUGAACACUGAGGUACAUGUAUCUUUUUAGAGUUUUCACCAGAUAGAUGCCCAAGAGUGAGACUUUCUGGAUGUGAGCUCCCAUCUGUUCCUUCUGGAUCCCCAAGACACCUAGAGCAGUGCCUACCUCCCAAUUUCAGGCACCCACAUUCUUUGUCCUGUCUGGGGGCAAAUGGUUUCUCUCCAUAUUAUUCCCAUACUCUGAGCCAGUUAAGGCACACUUCUCACUUUAAAGUUGGGGGGAACCGAAGCACAGUGGAGUAAAGUGCUUUGUUCCAGCAUUCCACUACUCAGGGAUGGAGCCAAGAGCAAAAGGAAUCUGCAGACUCCUACCUGCUCUGUUGCUAUUUCCUGGAUCACGCCAAGCAGAUCCUGCACCUUGGCCUGAGUUGAUUAACCCCCCUUAAGUGACUGAACAAUUGGAGAAAAGAGUUUUAAAAUGUGAAAGAGUCUCAUUGCGAGGGGGAAGAAACUGAUUCUAACUUAAAAUAAGAAAAAUGUAAAUGAGAUUGGACCAAAAGAAUCACAGAAGACAUUUUUCAGGGUGAAUGUUAAUGUCAGUAGCCACCAAGGUUAGCCAAGAUCUUCUCACCUCUGCCAGUGCUGCUGCUGCCACCAUACCACUUACGGUGAGCGAAAUGGGCCUUCCAUCUGACCAAAGGCAAACAUAAGCUGUGAAAAUUCAAUGGAAUCCUUGAGAAGCGAAGCCCUGGGGUGGAAGAUCACCCAACAUAAGCAGUUGCUCAAUAAUGCCCAUGUCUUAAAGGGGAAUUCUGCACGUCUGGGUACGCCUGAGAAAGAGAGUGCAGUUUGGUCAGAAUCUCUAUGCAUCUCAGAAACUGUAAGAAUAACAUAUUCAACUAGAGUUUUAAGCGAACAGUAAGUCAUAGACUAAUAUUUAAUUGCUGAGCUAUUUCAGGGUGAUAGGACCAUGGGAUGAUCUUUUUAAAAAUUUUUACUAUAAUUGAUUCAUAGUGUUCUAUCAAUUUCUGCUGUACAGCAAACUAGAAUGAUUUUAUUUUAAAGGUUCUUUAUGAUUUUCAAGCAUCAAAUAAUAACAUUGCAUCAGAUAGCUUUGGCUGCAUAACCAAUGACCCUAGAACAUUGGCAUAAACAAAGUUAAACUCUUUCAGAGAUCCGUGGUUGGCAGUUUGGGCCACUUUGACUCAUUUGACCUGAGCUCUCUCUUGUGUCUGCGGUCAGAUGUGAGAUCAGCAGAGGCAGGCUGGCCUUGAGCUGGAACUCCCCAGUCCUCCCUAUAUCAAGGGGCAAAUUUACUUGGCUGCUGUCAUGGUUUUAGGAUACCUCGGUUGUUGAGGCUGAAAAGGGAUAUUCUCUUUGUCCUGUUCAAAGCAAAUCUCAAAUUAUUCAGCUUAAAAAAUUCAGUAAAGAAAAGAAUGUAAAGGGUUUAUUUGAGGUCUCAAAAUCACUGAGUUCUAAGAGUGGACAUUUUUAUUUUCCAGUUGUGCUGUUAACUUUUCCCACUAAAUCCAGUCUUGUGUUUGUUUUUUAUUGUUUGUUUGUUGGUGUGUGUUUGUUUUUAAUUUUCUUAGAGUAUAGUUGACUUAUGAUGUUGUAUAGUCUCCUGGUUUUGCUGUCAUCUUUGGUUGGUCACACAUGGUCCAGCCAACCGCCUGUUAGAGUCAAGGCUUUUCCCGUCGGAUGCAUGAAGGUCACUCAACCUUUGGCUCCAGCAGCUUGCUCGCUGCUCCUUCCUCCUUGAACUUGUCCUCUGGUGUUAGUUUGGAGAAGAGGUGUGGGAGAGUGGUGUUCUGACAUGCCUGUGCAUGGCCAAUGGGCUGUCCUCUUCCUCGUUGGCCCAAAGUACUCCUUUAGGUACACAACCACACUUCAGCAGUGCAAGCAUCCUGUUGCAUUCCUGUGGUCAGCUUCACUAACCAAGCUGUGGUCUAUGAAGUAGAAAUGGGUAGGCAGAAAUCCCAAGAUGUCUGCUGGCUUUGGACUCAACUCCAAGUCAUUUCCUUUAGAAAUCUCAACGCAUCUUCAAAAGUCGAGCCUCACUGGCCAACAUACCACAUCCCAGCCUGUAAUGGUCCCUAGCAAGAGUACAGCCAGCAAGCCAGCAAGCUAUGUUACUCAGGAGACAUCACGUCACAUGGGGAAGAGGGUCUAUUUCUUGCUGAAACCUACAACCUUUAUGAGGAAGUCUUACCUCCCAUCGCUUUGGCUUUAGAAGAGAAACUAAGUGCCUGCUUCUUUUUCCUUUAGGGAAGUCAGAGGAAGUUAGGGCCUCUAAAAGUUAUAUCCUGGCCCCUUUCCAGUCUUCUUUACACAAGGAGAGGAUGAGGGCACAGUGGGAUGGGCGAGGUUGGAAAAAGUGUUUACUUCUGAUUCUGCUGAAAUGGCACCUUUCAGCAGCCCCUUUACGAAGGGGACUGGCACCCCAGCCUGAAGCUCUUUCUGAGUUUAGAAUGUAGAAUACCUAGUAGCCUUUGCUCUCAGCUGUGAGUUCCGGGAGUUAAUACCGGGAAAUUGUUUUACACCGUUCUGCUACACUGAUAAGCCUGUAAUAUAGGCAAACGUUAAGAAAGAGCCCCAGUUGUAACUUCACUGUUACUGUGAAGGGAAAUCUCUUACUUCAAGGCCUGUGGCCCAUUUUUCUUUCUCCUUUUUGUAGACCACUCUUCUUUCUUUGAAAAUCAAAACAAUUUAUUGUAAGAGUUUAAGAGUGUCUUUAUAGGCAUCGAUUAGUUUAACUAUCACAGUUCAUUCCCUUCCCUUCGGCACCAAGAAAAUUGAUGUGAUGGCCUGUCUUAAGUUGGCUUCCUCUCUUGGUCUUUUAUCUGACAAGACACCUUUGGCAAAGUAAUGACAAAGCCUCAUCAAUAUGCUACUUUUCAUCUGCCUGACACUGAAAUCAAUGGACUGCAGGAGAGGUCCCUCUAUCAGCAUUGUCAGAAAGGAUCACCAUGCUGGACGGAGCAUGCUACCUGAUUUCUCUGAGCACUCGCUCAUUCCUGAAAGCUUUCUCUUGGCAGUUACAACAGUGACCCUGCGUAGAGGUCAGAGAUAAAGAUGCUAUAGAAUCAAAGGAUGUUCAGUGAGUCUGGGAAGGGAGACCCUCUCAGAGUGUGAGAUGAUAUAAUGGUCUGCAGAGCUGGCCCCUGGGAGAAAUCACAUUCUCCAUCUCUAGGCCAUGUGACCUGCAGGAUCUGCGUUUGUGGGCCUGGAAGCCCUAAUGUGCCCUAAGUGACAGCUGGGUUUAGAGGGUUACACUUAGCAUCAAGGAACGAAUUUACCCAAGCAAAAGUGGCUGGAGAGGGAUCAUCGAUUUUCUGGAAAAAAUUUAAAGAACUCAUCAAAAAUGCUUAAAUAAUAAACUAUAGGUAGGAUUAUGUAAAUAGCUUAUGAUUAGCCAAUAAUAAUGAUUCAGUAGGGAAAAAACAAACCAAUUUGUUGGAUAUCUCUUAACAUUUUGAGAAAAUUUUCAUUCCUCAGUGACAAUAAGAAUUAUCACACAGAACACUGAAUUCCACUGGCAAUCGGAAACCUCAAGAAUUAGGUUUCCCUGAAGUCUAUAACCACGGCAGACUCUAAUCCCAGAUGAAGCUUAAUUGAAAGUUCUUUGUAAAAACACGGUAGGAAACAUUUUCCUUUUUAGUGUUGCCAAACAGAGCUAACUCUGGACAUUUCUUCACUGUCCUUUCAGCCAAGUUAGAAAAGAAAAAAAAAAAAAAAAAAAAAAA
rnacentral:lncRNA from 9 species